rnacentral:rRNA from 1 species
UACGUAGGGUGCGAGCGUUAAUCGGAAUUAUUGGGCGUAAAGCGAGUGUAGACGGUUAUUUAAGCCAGAUGUGAAAUACCCGAGCCUAACUUGGGAGGUGCAUAUGGAACUGGGUAGCUAGAGUGUGUCAGAGGGAGGUAGAACUCCACGUGUAGCAGUGAAAUGCGUAGAGAUGUGGAAGAAUACCGAUGGCGAAGGCAGCCUCCUGGGAUAACACUGACGUUGAGGCUCGAAAGCGUGGGGAG